GUACUCCCCAGGCGGGGUACUUAUUGCGUUAACUCCGGCACAGAAGGGGUCGAUACCUCCUACACCUAGUACCCAUCGUUUACGGCCAGGAUUACCGGGGUAUCUAAUCCCGUUCACUCCCCUGGCUUUCGCGCCUCAGCGUCAGACACAGUCCAGAAAGUCGCCUUCGCCACUGGUGUUCCUCCUAAUAUCUACGCAUUUCACCGCUACACUAGGAAUUCCACUUUCCUCUCCUGCACUCAAGAAAUGUAGUUUCCAUCCCAUCACGGGGUUGAGCCCCGAACUUUUAAGACAGACUUACAUUCCCGCCUGCGCGCGCUUUACGCCCAAUAAUUCCGGACAACGCUUGCCACCUACGUAUUACCGCGGCUGCUGGCACGUAGUUAGCCGUGGCUUCCUCCUCAGGUACCGUCAUUACUUAACAUUAUUCACAUUAAGCACAUUCGUCCCUGAAGACAGAGCUUUACGAUCCGAAAACCUUCUUCACUCACGCGGCGUUGCUCCGUCAGACUUUCGUC
rnacentral:rRNA from 1 species